UUAAGAUCAGAAAUAAUUUCUGAAUGAAUAAUGCAAUCGAGCAGAAAAACUUGGGAGUUCAUAGAAUUGAUUUUGAAAUUGUGUUGAAAUUCGGGAAACCAUAAUUAUUUUCCUCUUUUAUCUUGGGCUUUGACUGUGUUAACAUAUUUUCGUUUCAAAUAUUAAUAUUUUAUUAGAAGUGAAGUUUUAAUCGUAAAUUAAAAUGCUAAUAAAAUUUAUUUGAACGAAAUAUGUAUUUCUCUUAAUACGCUGUCUUAAAAAAGUUCCGUUAUUAUUGCUGACAUUUCAAGCUGCCAGUUGCAAGUUCAAUUCAAAUUUAGUGGCAAUUUCCCCAGCAUUUUGCAAAAAAAUCGCUGGGGCAGCGAUCAGGAAGCUUCCGAAAAACCGAAAAGUCUUGAGAAUGCUUUUAUCGGCAGAGAAAUUAAUUAAAAAUAAUAUACAUGAGCAAUAUAAGCCAAGAAACUUUGUGCAGGACGCUCAGAGCUGCUGGUUAUAAAAAAUCAAAUCGACGUACCUAUACAUAUAUGCCGCUUCUAAGUGAAAAAUCUUUCGUAAAUUCAUGAUACCGAGCUUAAGUCCAUGCUUAACAUGUUUGGUCCUGAUUAUACGGACUAUAACUUACGAAUAAUGGAUAAACACAUUAUGUUUGGUUAAGCACGCUGAUAGCAAAAUAAUACAGAGGCGCUGUGUAUGGAUAAGUGAUAAGUUUUGUACACAUUUAAACUAUCGUUUAAAAAAUCUACCACCGGCAAAA